UGCAGAUGGAAAUGAGCAAUCUUGCUAUAAUUUGGUACAGAACAUAUCUGUCUUUGAGCUUAAUGUUUCUGUGCCUUGUCCCUUCAAAUAAGGACUAAACUAUCAUCAGCAACGCUUCAUUAUUACAUGAGCAUGGCAUCAUGUCCUGCAUUUUUGUGACCACUCCGAUGUGUUUACCAGCCGUCAAAGAAAUCCCGGAUGGAGUUGUCAUUUCCAGCCAUCCACCGUUGUGACUGGUAAUGCGCACCGAAAUGGGGUACAGUGACAGGUACUUGAAGUCGGAUGGAUGUUUUGUACUAAAAACAAAUAUAAAACGGCAAAGAAA